CCUACGGGUGGCAGCAGUGAGGAAUAUUGGUCAAUGGACGAGAGUCUGAACCAGCCAAGUAGCGUGAAGGAUGACUGCCCUAUGGGUUGUAAACUUCUUUUAUAUGGGAAUAAAACGUUCCACGUGUGGGAUUUUGUAUGUACCAUAUGAAUAAGGAUCGGCUAACUCCGUGCCAGCAGCCGCGGUAAUACGGAGGAUCCGAGCGUUAUCCGGAUUUAUUGGGUUUAAAGGGAGCGUAGGUGGAUUGUUAAGUCAGUUGUGAAAGUUUGCGGCUCAACCGUAAAAUUGCAGUUGAAACUGGCAGUCUUGAGUACAGUAGAGGUGGGCAGAAUUCGUGGUGUAGCGGUGAAAUGCUUAGAUAUCACGAAGAACUCCGAUUGCGAAGGCAGUUCACUGGACUGCAACUGACACUGAGGCUCGAAAGUGUGGGUAUCAAACAGGAUUAGAUACCCUAGUAGUC
rnacentral:rRNA from 1 species